GACGAACGCUGGCGGCGUGCCUAAUACAUGCAAGUAGAACGCUUAAGAGAGGAGCUUGCUCUUCUUGGAUGAGUUGCGAACGGGUGAGUAACGCGUAGGUAACCUGCCUUGUAGCGGGGGAUAACUAUUGGAAACGAUAGCUAAUACCGCAUAACAAUGGAUGACACAUGUCAUUUAUUUGAAAGGGGCAAUUGCUCCACUACAAGAUGGACCUGCGUUGUAUUAGCUAGUAGGUGAGGUAAUGGCUCACCUAGGCGACGAUACAUAGCCGACCUGAGAGGGUGAUCGGCCACACUGGGACUGAGACACGGCCCAGACUCCUACGGGAGGCAGCAGUAGGGAAUCUUCGGCAAUGGGGGCAACCCUGACCGAGCAACGCCGCGUGAGUGAAGAAGGUUUUCGGAUCGUAAAGCUCUGUUGUAAGUCAAGAACGGGUGUGAGAGUGGAAAGUUCACACUGUGACGGUAGCUUACCAGAAAGGGACGGCUAACUACGUG
rnacentral:rRNA from 1 species